rnacentral:rRNA from 1 species
GAAGGAUCAUUACAGAAAGUAAACGCGGAUCAAACCGCGAACUUCUAAACCUUUGACGAUUGACUCACGUUGCCUCGGCGGGUUCUCCCGCCAGAGGAUACAUCAAAACUCCUGUUUUAACGGUGUUGUCUGAGCUACAAGCAACGAAUCAAAACUUUCAACAACGGAUCUCUUGGUUCUGGCAUCGAUGAAGAACGCAGCGAAAUGCGAUAAGUAGUGUGAAUUGCAGAAUUCAGUGAAUCAUCGAAUCUUUGAACGCACAUUGCGCCCCUUGGUAUCCCGAGGGGCAUGCCUGUUCGAGCGUCAUUUCACCACUCAAGCCUGGCUUGGUGUUGGGCGACGUCCCCUUCGGGGACGCGCCUCGAAACGCUCGGCGGCGUGGCACCGGCUUUAAGCGUAGCAGAAUCUUUCGCUUCAAAAGUCGGGGCCCCGUCUGCCGGAAGACCUACUCGCAAGGUUGACCUCGGAUCAGGCAGGGAUACCCGCUGAACUUAA